CCUACGUGUGGCAGCCGUGGGGGAUAUUGCACAAUGGGGGGAACCCUGCUGCAGCGACGCCGCGGGGGUGAAGAAGCGCCUCGGCGCGUAAAGCCCUGUCAGCAGGGAAGAAAAUGACGGUAACUGAAGAAGAAGCCCCGGCUAACUACGUGCAAGCAGCCGCGGUAAUACGUAGGGGGCAAACGUUAUCCGGAUUUACUGGGUGUACAGGGGGCGCCGGCGGCGAUGCAAGCCAGGAGUGAAAGGCCGGGGGCCAACCCCGGGACUGCUCUUGGAACUGCGUGGCUGGAGUGCAGGGGGGGCAGGCGGAAUUCCUGGUGUAGCGGUGAAAUGCGUAGAUAUCAGGAGGAACACCGGUGGCGAAGGCGGCCUGCUGGACUGCAACUGACGUUGAGGCCCGAAAGCGUGGGGAGCAAACAGGAUUAGAUACCCGGGUAGUC
rnacentral:rRNA from 1 species